rnacentral:rRNA from 1 species
AUGGGCGAUUUUAAUGAAAUCCUACUUGCAUCAGAGAAGGAAGGGGGCAAUCCUAGGCCACGUGCAAUGAUCCAGGCCUUCAGUGACUGUUUGCAUGAUUGUGGUCUAAAAGAUGUGGAGUAUACGGGUGAUAAAUACACCUGGAGAAGGGGCGAAAUCCGUGAACGCCUUGAUAGAGCUGUUUGUAAUGAAGCCUGGAUGGAAAAAUUUCCCCUAGCUAUGCUAUUUCAUGAACAACAUGUCCAUUCAGACCAUAGGCCAAUUUGGAUUGAUACUGAACAUUUUGAUGGGGAACUGCUGAGAAAGCGAAGUGGAGGGUUGAGAUUUGAGGCGAAGUGGCUACAAGAAGAAACGGUCGAGGAGAUUGUUAAAUCUGCUUGGGAGAGGGCUAAACUGGCUGGAAUGGGGCCAUCUUUGGCUGACCGAACUCGUGCUUUCCAUGCGGAUCUGCAUGCUUGGGACCGAAACACUAUGAAGGGUCCGAAGAAGCGGAUAUCAAAACUGAAACGGGAAUUGGAAAAAUUAAAAGCUGGUUCGUUAAAUUCCGAUACCUGA